ACGCACGCUGGCGGCGUGCUUCACACAUGCAAGUCGCACGGAAAGGCCCUGCUUUUGUGGGGUGCUCGAGUGGCGAACGGGUGAGUAACACGUGAGUAACCUGCCCUUGACUUUGGGAUAACUUCAGGAAACUGGGGCUAAUACCGGAUAGGAGCUCCUGCUGCAUGGUGGGGGUUGGAAAGUUUCGGCGGUUGGGGAUGGACUCGCGGCUUAUCAGCUUGUUGGUGGGGUAGUGGCUUACCAAGGCUUUGACGGGUAGCCGGCCUGAGAGGGUGACCGGCCACAUUGGGACUGAGAUACGGCCCAGACUCCUACGGGAGGCAGCAGUGGGGAAUAUUGCACAAUGGGUGGAAGCCUGAUGCAGCAACGCCGCGUGCGGGAUGACGGCCUUCGGGUUGUAAACCGCUUUCGCCUGUGACGAAGCGUGAGUGACGGUAAUGGGUAAAGAAGCACCGGCUAACUACGUG
rnacentral:rRNA from 1 species